rnacentral:rRNA from 1 species
UUGAUCCUGCCGGACCCGACUGCUAUCAGAGUGGGACUAAGCCAUGCGAGUCAACAUAGCAAUAUGUGGCAUACGGCUCAGUAACACGUAGUCAACAUGCCCAGGGGACGUGGAUAACCUCGGGAAACUGAGGAUAAACCGCGAUAGGUCAUCACUUCUGGAAUGGGUAAUGACUUAAAUCUACAUGGCCCCUGGAUUGGACUGCGGCCGAUCAGGCUGUUGGUGAGGUAAUGGCCCACCAAACCUGUAACCGGUACGGGCUCUGAGAGGAGGAGCCCGGAGAUGGGCACUGAGACAAGGGCCCAGGCCCUAUGGGGCGCAGCAGGCGCGAAACCUCUGCAAUAGGCGAAAGCUUGACAGGGUUACUCUGAGUGAUUUCCGUUAAGGAGAUCUUUUGGCACCUCUAAAAAUGGUGCAGAAUAAGGGGUGGGCAAGUCUGGUGUCAGCCGCCGCGGUAAUACCAGCACCCCGAGUGGUCGGGACGUUUAUUGGGCCUAAAGCAUCCGUAGCCGGUUCUACAAGUCUUCCGUUAAAUCCACCUGCUUAACAGAUGGGCUGCGGAAGAUACUAUAGAGCUAGGAGGCGGGAGAGGCAAGCGGUACUCGAUGGGUAGGGGUAAAAUCCGUUGAUCCAUUGAAGACCACCAGUGGCGAAGGCGGCUUGCCAGAACGCACUCGACGGUGAGGGAUGAAAGCUGGGGGAGCAAACCGGAUUAGAUACC